AAAACGGUGGUAAUGCCGGAUGUUCCACAUGAUCGCAUGUGAUUGUGGGAAAGAUUCUAUCGGCGUGGGAUGGGGUCGCGUCCUAUCAGCUUGUUGGUGAGGUAACGGCUCACCAAGGCUUCGACGGGUAGCCGGCCUGAGAGGGCGACCGGCCACAUUGGGACUGAGAUACGGCCCAGACUCCUACGGGAGGCAGCAGUGGGGAAUAUUGCACAAUGGGCGCAAGCCUGAUGCAGCGACGCCGCGUGAGGGAUGGAGGCCUUCGGGUUGUAAACCUCUUUUGUUUGGGAGCAAGCCUUCGGGUGAGUGUACCUUUCGAAUAAGCGCCGGCUAACUACGUGCCAGCAGCCGCGGUAAUACGUAGGGCGCAAGCGUUAUCCGGAUUUAUUGGGCGUAAAGGGCUCGUAGGCGGCUCGUCGCGUCCGGUGUGAAAGUCCAUCGCUUAACGGUGGAUCUGCGCCGGGUACGGGCGGGCUGGAGUGCGGUAGGGGAGACUGGAAUUCCCGGUGUAACGGUGGAAUGUGUAGAUAUCG
rnacentral:rRNA from 1 species